CAAAGAUCGAGACAAAAGCAGCAAGGAGCAUCAAAGGUGUUACUGUAACACAAUGCUUAAAGGUUAACAGCAGCAUAAGAAGGAAGACAUAAUACAAUCAGAAGCUCUUUGGUUCAAAAACUGUAGCUUUGGUCAAGGCAGAAGAAUACCAACUUUUUUUCAGCCCUCACAACACUCUGUGUUUCCUAAUCCGCAAGGAAGAGAACAAGACAGAAAACAGUCAAUAAUGAUGCACUGCUUUAUUUUCUCAUGAAAGGUAUGAGACUUGACUUUGGGAGGUACUACCUUCUGAAGGUACACAUUCACUUAAUUUCCUGUCAUCAUUCCAACAGCAUCAGUUUGGUUUAUUUAGUAUAUUAUGUAUCUCAAUUGGAAGAUGUGCUGCAAUAUUCUCUCCUCAUUUUAGUAAAAGAUAAAAUGUAAUUGCCACAAUUUUACAUUAAAAUAAACAUGAGAUAAUGUGCUGCUAUUUCAGAACACUGCCUAAUACGUUCAUCUGGCAAAGGCAAAUGUAAGGCCAGUUCUGUAUAGAUCGGGGAUUUUAUGGUGGUUCUGAGAACACGCUUGCCAUACAAUACAGGCAGCACAGUCUAUUCAAUAGCUCUGCACAACUGAAAUGAAUCCUGCAAGAGCUGUUAAAAAAAACAAUCAGAUUUUGUUCUUUUCCAUGCAAGGAUUCUUAGCGAUACAAAUUUGAAACACCAGCUACAUAGCUGGAACACUGAAUAAGGCUAAAAUCCUACAUAGAUUUUAGUACUGAAAUUAAGGAUGCAGGAAGAAAAAAAUUCACAAAAAUGAAAAUUAAAGCUAGAGAAAUAUAAAAGGCUUUCAGUUUUAUUCUGUGGGGAGAGUUGCAAACAUAAAAAAAAGCAAGUGGAUGGUAUCAGUUUUUUAGCACUAGA